UACGUAGGGCGCAAGCGUUGUCCGGAAUUAUUGGGCGUAAAGAGCUCGUAGGUGGUUUGUUACGUCUGCUGUGAAAACCUAGGGCUUAACCCUGGGCCUGCAGUGGAUACGGGCAGACUAGAGGUAGGUAGGGGAGAAUGGAAUUCCCGGUGUAGCGGUGAAAUGCGCAGAUAUCGGGAAGAACACCCGUGGCGAAGGCGGCACUCUGGGACGGUACUGACGCUGAGACGCGAAAGCGUGGGGAGCGAACAGG
rnacentral:rRNA from 1 species